rnacentral:rRNA from 1 species
CCUACGGGAGGCAGCAGUAAGGAAUAUUGGACAAUGCCCGCAAGGGUGAUCCAGCCAUGCCGCGUGCAGGAAGAAGGCCCUAUGGGUCGUAAACUGCUUUUACACCGGAGAAAACCUCCCUUCGUGAAGGGAGCUGAUAGUAUGGUGAGAAUAAGCAUCGGCUAACUUCGUGCCAGCAGCCGCGGUAAGACGAAGGAUGCAAGCGUUAUCCGGAUUCAUUGGGUUUAAAGGGAGCGUAGGUGGACUGAUCAGUCAGUGGUGAAAUCUUCGAGCUUAACUCGGAAAUUGCCAUUGAUACUGUUAGUCUUGAGUACAGUUGCUGUGGGCGGAAUAUGACAUGUAGUGGUGAAAUACAUAGAGAUGUCAUAGAACACCGAUUGCGAAGGCAGCUCACAAAGCUGUAACUGACACUGAGGCUCGAAAGUGCGGGGAUCAAACAGGAUUAGAUACCCUGGUAGUCCGCACUGUAAACGAUGAUUACUCGCUGCUAGAGGGCAACUUUUAGUGGCUUAGCGAAAGCGANAAGUAAUCCACCUGGGGAGUACGCCGGCAACGGUGAAACGUUAAAUGAAUUGACGGNGNGAGAGNGCGAGCGACGACGAGGGAGAGG